CCUACUUUGUUCAUCCUUUCUUCCUAUUUUUCCAUUUCCUAUAUUCUGAACCAGCCAAGUAGCGUGAAGGAUGACUGCCCUAUGGGUUGUAAACUUCUUUUAUAUGGGAAUAAAAUGUUCCACGUGUGGGAUUUUGUAUGUACCAUAUGAAUAAGGAUCGGCUAACUCCGUGCCAGCAGCCGCGGUAAUACGGAGGAUCCGAGCGUUAUCCGGAUUUAUUGGGUUUAAAGGGAGCGUAGGUGGAUUGUUAAGUCAGUUGUGAAAGUUUGCGGCUCAACCGUAAAAUUGCAGUUGAAACUGGCAGUCUUGAGUACAGUAGAGGUGGGCGGAAUGCGUGGUGUAGCGGUGAAAUGCUUAGAUAUCACGAAGAACUCCGAUUGCGAAGGCAGCUCACUGGACUGCAACUGACACUGAGGCUCGAAAGUGUGGGUAUCAAACAGGAUUAGAUACCCCAGUAGUC
rnacentral:rRNA from 1 species